GCUCAGGACGAACGCUGGCGGCGUGCUUAACACAUGCAAGUCGAACGGUGAUGUCAGAGCUUGCUCUGGCGGAUCAGUGGCGAACGGGUGAGUAACACGUGAGUAACCUGCCCCCGACUCUGGGAUAACUGCUAGAAAUGGUAGCUAAUACCGGAUAUGACGAUUGGCCGCAUGGUCUGGUCGUGGAAAGAAUUUCGGUUGGGGAUGGACUCGCGGCCUAUCAGGUUGUUGGUGAGGUAAUGGCUCACCAAGCCUACGACGGGUAGCCGGCCUGAGAGGGUGACCGGCCACACUGGGACUGAGACACGGCCCAGACUCCUACGGGAGGCAGCAGUGGGGAAUAUUGCACAAUGGGCGAAAGCCUGAUGCAGCAACGCCGCGUGAGGGAUGACGGGGGGACCAGUUGUAAACCUCUUUUAGUAGGGAAGAAGCGAAAGUGACGGUACCUGCAGAAAAAGCACCGGCUAACUACGUGCCAGCAGCCGCGGUAAUACGUAGGGUGCAAGCGUUGUCCGGAAUUAUUGGGCGUAAAGAGCUCGUAGGCGGUUUGUCGCGUCUGCUGUGAAAUCCCGAGGCUCAACCUCGGGUCUGCAGUGGGUACGGGCAGACUAGAGUGCGGUAGGGGAGAUUGGAAUUCCUGGUGUAGCGGUGGAAUGCGCAGAUAUCAGGAGGAACACCGAUGGCGAAGGCAGAUCUCUGGGCCGUAACUGACGCUGAGGAGCGAAAGCAUGGGGAGCGAACAGGAUUAGAUACCCUGGUAGUCCAUGCCGUAAACGUUGGGAACUAGAUGUGGGGACCAUUCCACGGUCUCCGUGUCGCAGCUAACGCAUUAAGUUCCCCGCCUGGGGAGUACGGCCGCAAGGCUAAAACUCAAAGGAAUUGACGGGGGCCCGCACAAGCGGCGGAGCAUGCGGAUUAAUUCGAUGCAACGCGAAGAACCUUACCAAGGCUUGACAUAUACCGGAAACAUGCAGAAAUGUGUGCCCCGCAAGGUCGGUAUACAGGUGGUGCAUGGUUGUCGUCAGCUCGUGUCGUGAGAUGUUGGGUUAAGUCCCGCAACGAGCGCAACCCUCGUUCUAUGUUGCCAGCACGUAAUGGUGGGAACUCAUAGGAGACUGCCGGGGUCAACUCGGAGGAAGGUGGGGAUGACGUCAAAUCAUCAUGCCCCUUAUGUCUUGGGCUUCACGCAUGCUACAAUGGCCGGUACAAAGGGCUGCGAUACCGUAAGGUGGAGCGAAUCCCAAAAAGCCGGUCUCAGUUCGGAUUGAGGUCUGCAACUCGACCUCAUGAAGUCGGAGUCGCUAGUAAUCGCAGAUCAGCAACGCUGCGGUGAAUACGUUCCCGGGCCUUGUACACACCGCCCGUCAAGUCAUGAAAGUCGGUAACACCCGAAGCCAGUGGCCUAACCGCAAGGGAGGAGCUGUCGAAGGUGGGAUCGGUGAUUAGG
rnacentral:rRNA from 1 species